rnacentral:lncRNA from 1 species
UAAAAAAAGGUGCUUAUCUAUAUUUUUAACUAGAAAAUUAAAUUUAUCUCUUAUUAUUAUCUAGAUAAAUUUCUAUCAAUAAUCUAUUUUCUUUAUCCAGAAAAAUUCCUAACAAUCUAUCUAGGGAAUUUACAGACCCUUUUGGCUGAUCCUCCAGGUUGGGGGUUGAUCGGUGGGCAACCACCUCAUCAUCAUAAAAAACUAUUUUUCAGGAAUUCAUCAAGUAUAUCGAGAAGAGUAAUGGAAUCAAGAUUGCAGUUAUCUAUAUUUAAAACUUGGAUUUUUUUUUUUGAAUCGACCCAAAUCAAUUUACCUCCGGGAGCCGGGAAUCCCCUUUUCAUUUCUACUUCUGAACUGUACACUUUGAAUAUUUAUUGAACUUGGAUUUUGAAUCGUUUCAAUCUAAAGGAGGUGUCCUUUGAGAGCCGGGAAUUCAUCAAUUACAUUGAGAAGAGUAAUGGAAACAAGAUUGGAGUUAUCUAUAUUUAAGUAUUUUUUUUUUUAUUUAUAAUGUAUUUACUAGGAAGAGCGCAAUAGGACUUGUGUUUUGGCUUUCAAUAAGAAUUUAAUUAUUUAAAAUUUUAUAAUCUUAAUUUUGUCUAGAGUUGGAUAUUUUUGUUUUUUAUAACUAACAGUGGUUUUUCUAUAUAUUUUUUGGUUUUUUAACUAUGUAGUGUAGAAAAUUAAUUAUGUGCUGACUUUUAAUGAGGAAUUCUCAUUUUACUAUUUGAUUUAAGAUUAUUUAUUGUUUUUUGGCUGAUCCUUUUUAUGACUUUUGCUAGGUAUAAGUUUGCUGAAUUGUGGCGUUCGGUGUUGGAAAUAUUUUUUGUCUGUGUUUAUGAGUCUUAAAUCUUGAAUUAUUUUUUUUGUUUCUUGUAGGUAGGGUUGAACAGCUGGUCAUUUGUUUGGCUUAUAAUUAAAGAUCUUUUUACGGUUUGAUGUCUUGUUGUUUUGUUGUUCUUUUGGUUUAUGUUUUAAGAUUUUUGAUAGGUAUUUGU